ACUUGUCUGCUCCAAUGUCUGGUGAAGUGAAGAAAAACCCCACUCAUUAUAGACAGGCAAGGGGUGCUCACUGGCUCCUGUGGGAAGAUGUAACGAGGAGGAAGCCCAUUCCCUUUACUCAAGUGAGGACGUCAGGAAGAUGUGCGGUUCCGAGCUAUAAACGGACUCAUAUUUUUAAAUGAGCUGGGGGUUUCUAUUUAAAGGAUCCCUGAUGUAAAGCCUUUUUAUAAAAUAAAGACAUCUUGAGUAUAUGAA
rnacentral:lncRNA from 1 species